rnacentral:rRNA from 1 species
AGAGUUUGAUCCUGGCUCAGGACGAACGCUGGCGGCGUGCUUAACACAUGCAAGUCGAGCGGAAAGGCCCUUCGGGGUACUCGAGCGGCGAACGGGUGAGUAACACGUGAGUAACCUGCCCCUAGCUCUGGGAUAAGCCCGGGAAACUGGGUCUAAUACCGGAUAUGACACGUCACCGCAUGGUGCGCGUGUGGAAAGUU